GACGAACGCUGGCGGCGUGCUUAACACAUGCAAGUCGAACGGAAAGGUCCUGCUUUUGCGGGGUGCUCGAGUGGCGAACGGGUGAGUAACACGUGAGUAACCUGCCCUUGACUUUGGGAUAACUUCAGGAAACUGCGGCUAAUACCGGAUAGGAGCUCCUGCUGCACGGUGGGGUUUGGAAAGUUUUGGCGGUGGGGGAUGGACUCGCGGCUUAUCAGCUUGUUGGUGAGGUAGUGGCUUACAAAGGUUUUGACGGGUAGCCGGCGUGAGAGGGUGAACGGCCACAUUAGGACUGAGAUAGGGACCAGACUCCUAUGGGAGGCAGCAGGGGGGAAUAUUGCACAAUGGGCGGAAGCCUGAUGCAGCAACGCCGCGUGCGGGAUGACGGCCUUCGGGUUGUAAACCGCUUUCGCCUGUGACGAAGCGUGAGUGACGGUAAUGGGUAAAGAAGCACCGGCUAACUACGUG
rnacentral:rRNA from 1 species